rnacentral:rRNA from 1 species
GAUGAACGCUAGUGGCAGGCCUAAUACAUGCAAGUCGAACGGUGUCUUCGGACAUAGUGGCGCACGGGUGCGUAACGCGUAUGCAACCUACCUUACAUUGGGGGAUAGCCUUUCGAAAGGGAGAUUAAUACCGCAUAAGACAGUAGCUGGGCAUCCAGCAGCUGUUAAAGAUUUAUCGAUGUAAGCUGGGCAUGCGUCCAAUUAGCUAGUUGGUGAGGUAACGGCACACCAAGGCAAUGAUUGGUAGGGGAACUGAGAGGUCAAUCCCCCACACUGGCACUGAGAUACGGGCCAGACUCCUACGGGAGGCAGCAGUAGGGAAUAUUGGGCAAUGGACGCAAGUCUGACCCAGCCAUGCCGCGUGCAGGAUGAAGGCGUUAUGCGUUGUAAACUGCUUUUAUACAGGAAGAAACGACUCUUGCGAGAGGCAUUGACGGUACUGUAUGAAUAAGCACCGGCUAACUCCGUGCCAGCAGCCGCAGUAAAAC